UCUUUGUGUGAGCAUGGCACGGAGGGGAAGCUACUAGCAUUUUAGGAGGGGCAGUUCUUCGUUAUGUGGAGUGUUCUGCGCAUUACAGGACGUUACGCUUCUACCAAGUUCUGCAGUGCCUCCAAGACAUCUGACAAUGGACAAAGGCCCCUGAGGCCCCACACAUUCCAGACGCUCCCCUGGGGGCAGUACCACUCGGGUUGAGACCACUGGGCUACAAGAUGCAGAUGGUUUGAUGCAGCCCUGCCCCCUGUCGGUGAAUAGCACCAACGUCUCCCCGUCCACAGCCUCGGGUCCUCAUCUUUCACGAAGGCGCAGCAUGGCCAGCAUGAUUCCGGUCCCAGCGUGAGUACAGCCCUGGUGUGGAGGGGCUGGGGGCACCGUCUUGGGCAUUUCUGCCUCCCCUGUCAGCCCCAGCCAACCUUCUUCUGCCCCGGGUCAGCUUUCCAGGAGUAUUUUCUCUGCAUUCCUCAAGGCAGCCUGGGAGAGAGAGACUGGGACACUGGUCUUCUCCUUCCUUUGGACUCAGACUCAGACCGGAAUUUACAACAUCAGCUCACCUGGGUUUCCAGCUGGCCAACUUCAGAUCUUGGACUUCUCAUCUUCUAUAAUCAUGAUCUGUUCCAGAAGGAACUGCUGGAUCAAAGCAUGUGCGAACUCUUAAGGCUUCUGAUACAUUUUGCCAAAUUACCCCUUGAAGGACUUAGCAGCAGUGAAUGGGAGAAGCUGUUCCCCAGGGUCCUGACCCACCCAACUAUAAUCACACAAUAAGGAAG